rnacentral:rRNA from 1 species
AGUGAACGCUGGCGGCAUGCCUAACACAUGCAAGUCGAACGGCCGCACAGUAAGCGCUUGUCCUUACGGGUGGCGAGUGGCGGGUGGGUGAGGCAUACAUAGCAUUCCUAUUUUACUUGGGGGACUACGUAGGGCAACUUCUGAUAAUAGCGAAUAUGAUCUACCGGUGAAAUCAAGAGUUCAUGGGACCUUGAGCGAUUCAUAGAGACGAAGUCGGAUUAGCUAGUUGGGUGGGUAAAGGCUCACCAAGGCAACGCUGCGUAGCUGGUCUGAGAGGGUGAUCAGCCACACUGGAACUGAGACACGGUCCAGACUCCUACGGGAGGCAGCAGUAGGGAAUAUUGGGCAAUGGGCGCAAGCCUGAUGCAGCAAUGCCGCGUGGGUGAAGAAGGUCUUCGGAUCGUAAAACUCUGUUAUUAGGGAAGAAAAUCUGCAGAUGUAACUGCCGCUAUUCUGACGGUACCCAAAGAGUAAGCACCGGCUAACUUCGUG